AACAAUAAAUCUCAACAUUUUAAACUUUAUUUUUUCAGAGAGUUUCUCUUCUCUUCCAUGAAUUUACUUUAAAAUCGAUAGCAAUUAACUAAUUGUUUCUCCAAAACUGAGCGUGCUUCUAAUUACAAUUAAUUAGUGUGAUCAAGAAAGGCGAAGUAUACGUAUAUGCCUUAUACGCAAUAAUUAAGUAUCUAAACUUCCUACAGUCAGUAUUUACAUCAAUUCCAUGUUUAUGUAUUAUCAAACUGGUUUGAAUUGAACUGAAAUUCAAAGUAUUACACCUGUUCUUCCAAAAAAGUAACAACGGUGCUUCAUGAUAAGAAAUAAAAAUCAAGAUGUAAUCCAAAAGUAACUUUCUCUCGUCGAAACUAACUAAAAGUGCCAAGAGGAAGUCUUCACCAUUAAUUAAAUCAUUAACCAAAUGUCGUCAUCUCCAUAACCAUGUCGACUUUUUCGCCAUCCCGAUCUCCACGACGGACUGGUCAUCGACAUCAUCUCACCCACGUCCAGUCAUCCCCAUCCCUCUUAUCGUCCCCCUCCGUUAACUCGUCUUCCCCCCUCCUGACAGACUUGGUUGGGGUGUGGUUAAGCAUCAAAUGGGUCGUAGUCGCACUCGUGAUAAGCACAGUUUCUGUGUACGCCUUCCAUUUCGUGGCCAGUUUCAUUUCUCCCGAUGAAAAGGACCUUGCCAAAAAGGAUUUCACGCCGGAAACAAAGAUCUGGCUGGAAGAAAAUGAUCUGAUUGAAGCUUGCGGAGACCAACUUAAAUCUUUGGGUGUGGUGACGUUAGUGUCCAUUGUCCAACUGAACCAUUUAACCCAUGAGUUUGGGCUAAAGUUGCAAUUAUCUGAACCCACUGCUGGACAAGCAGUUCGCGACGUGGAGGAAGGAGAAGACCAACCACAGGACUCAUCCUCUUCCACGACGAGGGUAGAGGAAGAAGAUACAUCUCAAAUAGUACAAUCACCCACUGCGGAAGAGUUGUCUCUCGUAAAUCUCAAUUUGCCUCAGAAGGAUAAAGAGAGACUUAAACGGGCUGCCCACAUUUUGAGACAGAGAUUGAUUCUGAGGCUCUGGCUGGAUGACCACGGCUUGCUGGAAUAUGCAGCAAAAUUUAACAGUCUCGGGGUAAACUCCAUAGAAGACGCGUACUGGUUCGAGGACGUCGUCCGGCUAGAGGAAUCCAUCGGCGAGAAGAUUGUACCCAUGUGGAAUGUUGCCCGAAUUUCUUUGCCAUCUGGUCUCGCAGGAUUGGAAAGUUUAAAAUCCAGGUUGUGGAAUCGCAUCCUAACUUUAGACCAACAAUCCAUUUGGAACACGUGGGGGACCAUGUUGUUGGUUACUUUAAGCGUCAGUGGAUUUGGAGCCGUAGCCUCGUACUUUCCGCAAGUGGUGGAUGCAAAACAAGCAAUAUUGCAGUACGUUUCUGGAAAAUUUAAUCUGGCAAAUAACUGCAAAGUCCAGUUCGAUUGGGCAGAUCCAAUCCAAGUUGGUCAAACUGUCAGUUUCAGUAUUCGGUUUUAUCAACGAGGCGGAAGACCAUACCCGAUCUGCGAUAGAGACAAUGUGCUCAUUGAAGUCAAGAAGGAUUCGCAAAAGGUUGCAGUCGUUACAGAAUUUGGAGGCAAGGAUCCUUUGGAUGCCAACCUUGUCGUGGUAAAGUUUUCUGUGCGACAAUCUGGUCAGUAUGGGAUUCAUAUCAUGGUGGAAAAUAGUCACGUCAAAGGGUCGCCAUUUACGAAAACGUUCCUCCCUUCCGCCAUCGACCCGCACAAAACGCUAUUUCUUAAACAAACUUCCACCGUGGUGUGCGUAACGGGUCAAGUGCACAAAUUAAUCGUCGAACCUAGAGAUGGAUAUGGAAAUUUGUGCAGAGUUCAAGAUUUUUGUUUGGAUCUGUUCCGAUUUGGUGCAGAACAGAUUGAUGACAACAUGGAAAGCCAAGAUUAUCAAAACUGUUCCGUCCAAUUCAGUCAUGAUUCCGGAUAUUCCUCCACAACUGGCACUGUGACCACGACGGCCACAUCCAAAACGGAUAUUCCAUCCCCAAUUUUACUCUGUAGAGGGUCAGCAUCCUCUUCUGCUUCAUCAGAGACGGAACCUGGAAGGAUUUCUUUGCAGAUUAAAUUUCCAGAUCAAGGUGUUUUCAGAGGGAUGCUCAGGUAUGAUAACAAACCUGUGCAGAAUGGGAAAUUCGAAAUUGUGGUUUUAAAUUCUAACGAGGCUGCCGCAGUGCAGAAGAAUGUUGUAGCAAAAAGUAGUGGUGCGUAUUACGAAGGAAAAUUAUUAGCUGUUGGUAGUGAGGUUCAGACUAAGACUAGAAAAGUGUACCUAUCCAUCACUUCGAAACAGCUCACGAUCAAGGAAUAUUUUUUAAGAGUACUUCCCAUUAGAGUGGCCACGUUUCGACUUACGCCAAAUACAAAGCUCCAAUUUUUAAUGACCAAUAAUCAGCACGGUCUGCCCACAAUUCUCAUUGAUGAUGGGUCGCAACCAACAAUUAAAGUCGCGGUGAAGGAUGCAAAAAUAAUUGUAGCCACAUUUACACACUUUCUUCUUAGGAAUAUUGGUGGGUCUGAGACGUUUCAAGAUAAACAGGAACACUUUUUCAAAGAGCUGCGAGAGUUUCAUCGCAAGCAUCCUAGAGAUAAAUUGUGUCUCAAGAUUACGCGUGAAAAUAUUAUUGAAAGUACCUGGAAAGCUACCAAGAGUUUCUCUGCUCACGAUUUUUGCCGAAAUUUUGAAAUAAGUUUCGUCGGAGAACAAGGCAUCGACUGGGGAGGCCUUCGUCGCGAGUGGUUCGAACAGUGCUGUGCUCGUAUGUUCGAAGCAGGAAAUCCUGUUGGAAUGUUUGCCGAACUUGGAGAUUCGAGACUUACUCAUCCUAAUCCGAAUUCAAGGUGGAAAGCUAAGCAUUACGAAAUGGCUGGGAAAAUAAUUGGCAAAUGUCUUUACGAAAGCAGCCUAGGAUCUGCCUACCGACAAAUGGUCAAAGCCAAAUUAAGUCGUUCAUUCUUAGCUCAACUGAUUGGACUUCGAGUCAGUUACAAGUAUUUUGAACAAGAUGAUCCUGAAUUGUACCUUCGGAAAGUGAAAUUUAUUUUGGAAAAUGACGUGGAUGGGAUGGAAUUGACUUUCUCAGAAGAAGAAUAUGAUCCAAUGGGGAAACUGAUUAAGACUGUUGAUCUCGUGCCGGAUGGUUCCAAAAUCAUAGUAACAAAUGAAAACAAGCGUGAAUAUUUGAACGCCUUGGCGCAGUAUAGACUUGCUACGAAAGCAAAGCCUCAGGUUGACGCAUUUCUCAAGGGUCUCAACGAAGUCGUACCUGAUGAACUGCUCAGUAUUUUUGAUGAGAAUGAACUCGAGUUACUCAUGUGCGGAACAAGUGAGUAUAGCGUUACAGAGCUUCGGGAGCAUCACGUCGUUUCUGGCGCAACUGGAGAUUUCCGCAAAGUUCUUGAUUGGUUUUGGACCGCUGUUGCCAAUAUGACGGAAGAAGAAAAGGCACGCCUCUUGCAAUUUACGACUGGGUGUUCUCAACUUCCUCCCGGUGGAUUCAGAGAACUUUCACCACUGUUUCAAAUCACGCCAGCACCAACGUUCGGAAAUUUACCCACUGCCCACACAUGUUUCUCCCAAUUGUGUCUCCCUGAUUAUGAGAACUAUGAAAGCUUCGAGAAAGCACUCAGAAUCGCAAUUAAUGAAGGUUCCGAAGGGUUUGGACUUAUUUAAUCGUUUGACAUUUUGUUUCUUGACCAGUUACACAGAGCAGAACAAAGGAAAGAAUGUAUCUCAGAAAUACAAAAAUUUAACUAUUUAGUUACCAAACAAUUAAGUAUGAACAAAGUCAGUGAAUGCAGAUACUUAUUACAUAAAUAUUGUCGUUAUUAGAUAUUAUGAAGGAUACAUAUAUUUAUCUCAAGAAAAAGAAACAAAACUAUGUGCUUUUGCAAUCACACAACGUUAAUGAAGUGCUUGAGAAGAAUAGAAUUAUAUUAAAUUGACGAGUCAUUCCUAUAUACAUACAACCUUUUUCAAAAUAAUAAUGUUAAUUUUGAACUGAAGAAAAGCUUAAGAACGCUGAUGUAUUCAACCAAUCGAAAUCUAAUUAUAUAUGUAUUAAUGAUGAUAGUCAAAGAGCUAUUUAGGUAUAUAACUGACACUAUAAAACUUGUCUCCACUUUAUAGUUUAAAAUGCACCACCACUUAAAAAAUAUGAUUGUAUGUACAAUUUCUUGGACUUAUAAUGAGAUAUAUUUACUUAGCUUAAUUUAAUUUAGUUAUACAGUACUCGCAAUUGCCGUUUAAUAUUGUGAUUGAUUAGUAACUCUUCUUUGGUUGUGCAUGACUGAUUAUAUAUUUGUAGAAAACCCCGCAUCGUAGAAAAGUCCAAAGAUUUACUAAUCUUUAAAACAAUAUAUAUAACCUUUUAUAACAUAUAACGAUAAAUAACCAGAAGAACAAAUUAUAUAAUGAUAUAUGUCUACUACCAGUCUACCUGAAUAAAUGGUGAAAAAUA